UGCUGUACUGUAGACCAUGUGCACCCUGCUGAGUAACAGAGCUCUAGAAGUCUUCAUCUUUGUAACCGAGCUCUAGGUCUCUGAACAGCAAAUCCCACUCCCCUGUCUCCCCAGAAUGUGGAAAACACCACUCAGCUUCUUAUUUCUACUUCCUGAGUGCUGGAGAUCAAACCCAGAGCCACCCCCCAGGCAAGGUAACCGCUGUGCUACUGACCUGCACCCCCAGCUCUGCCCAUGUAUUUGUCUCUUUAAUAUCUAUGGACAGUUUUAUAGUUGCAAGUGUGUAAGUCUUUCAUCUCCUCCUAAUUUAUUCAUAUGUGUAUUUAAUUCUGUUAUAAAUAAAAUUGUUUUCCUUAUUUUC